UCAAAGGCUGUGUUCAUAGCCACACUAUUUGAAUUUAAAAAGUUGU
rfam:Tauraco erythrolophus contig21975, whole genome shotgun sequence.